rnacentral:rRNA from 1 species
AGAGUUUGAUCAUGGCUCAGAGUGAACGCUGGCGGUAGGCCUAACACAUGCAAGUCGAACGGCAGCACAGGAGAGGCUCGUGUCGUGAGAUGUUGGGUUAAGUCCCGCAACGAGCGCAACCCUUGUCCUUAGUUGCCAGCACGUAAUGGUGGGAACUCUAAGGAGACCGCCGGUGACAAACCGGAGGAAGGUGGGGAUGACGUCAAGUCAUCAUGGCCCUUACGGCCAGGGCUUCACACGUACUACAAUGGUAGGUACAGAGGGCUCCAAGCUCGGAGACGGUAACCCAAUGUCCAGAAACCNUAUCUCAGUCCGGAUNNGANUCUGCAAGNUCGACUCCNUGAAGUCGGAAUNGNNAGUAAUCGCAGAUCAGCAUUGCUGCGGUGAAUACGUUCCCGGGCCUUGUACAUCACCGCCCGUCACACCAUGGGAGUUUGUUGCACCAGAAGCAGGUAGCUUAACCUUCGGGAGGGCGCUGCCNCGUGCC